rnacentral:rRNA from 1 species
GAAGACCAAGGGUUCCUGUCCAACGUUAAUCGGGGCAGGGUGAGUCGACCCCUAAGGCGAGGCCGAAAGGCGUAGUCGAUGGGAAACAGGUUAAUAUUCCUGUACUUGGUGUUACUGCGAAGGGGGGACGGAGAAGGCUAUGUUGGCCGGGCGACGGUUGUCCCGGUUUAAGCGUGUAGGCUGGUUUUCCAGGCAAAUCCGGAAAACCAAGGCUGAGGCGUGAUGACGAGGCACUACGGUGCUGAAGCGACAAAUGCCCUGCUUCCAGGAAAAGCCUCUAAGCAUCAGGUAACAUCAAAUCGUACCCCAAACCGACACAGGUGGUCAGGUAGAGAAUACCAAGGCGCUUGAGAGAACUCGGGUGAAGGAACUAGGCAAAAUGGUGCCGUAACUUCGGGAGAAGGCACGCUGAUAUGUAGGUGAAGCGACUUGCUCGUGGAGCUGAAAUCAGUCGAAGAUACCAGCUGGCUGCAACUGUUUAUUAAAAACACAGCACUGUGCAAACACGAAAGUGGACGUAUACGGUGUGACGCCUGCCCGGUGCCGGAAG